rnacentral:rRNA from 1 species
UAGGGAAUCUUCCACAAUGGACGCAAGUCUGAUGGAGCAACGCCGCGUGAGUGAAGAAGGUUUUCGGAUCGUAAAGCUCUGUUGUUGGUGAAGAAGGAUAGAGGCAGUAACUGGUCUUUAUUUGACGGUAAUCAACCAGAAAGUCACGGCUAACUACGUGCCAGCAGCCGCGGUAAUACGUAGGUGGCAAGCGUUGUCCGGAUUUAUUGGGCGUAAAGCGAGCGCAGGCGGAAUGAUAAGUCUGAUGUGAAAGCCCACGGCUCAACCGUGGAACUGCAUGGGAAACUGUCAGUCUUGAGUGCAGAAGAGGAGAGUGGAAUUCCAUGUGUAGCGGUGGAAUGCGUAGAUAUAUGGAAGAACAACAGCGGCGAGGGAGGCUAUCUGGUCUGCAACUGACGCUGAGGCUCGAAAGCAUGGGUAGCGAGCAAG